UAAUACUCCAUAGAUUAGAGACACUGGAAUGUUCUUUAGUCGAAAGUUCUGGCGCCUUAGGAUGGAUCUGCGGUCGAUUAGGUUGUUGUUGGGGUAACGGCCCAACAAGCCUGUAAUCGAUACGGGUUGUGGGAGCAAGAGCCCGGAGAUGGAAUCUGAGACACGAUUCCAGGCCCUACGGGGCGCAGCAGGCGCGAAAACUUUACAAUGCAGGAAACUGUGAUAAGGGAACUCCGAGUGCCCGUAUACGCGGGCUGUCCAGGUGUUUAAAAAUCAUCUGAAGAAAGGGCCGGGCAAGACCGGUGCCAGCCGCCGCGGUAAUACCGGCGGCUCGAGUGGUGGCCACUAUUAUUGGGCUUAAAGCGUCCGUAGCUGGACCGAUAAGUCUCUUGGGAAAUCCGCCGGCUCAACCGGCGGGCGUCUAAGGGAUACUGUUAGUCUAGGGACCGGGAGAGGUGAGAGGUACUCCGGGGGUAGGAGUGAAAUCCUGUAAUCCCCGGGGGACCACCGAUGGCGAAGGCGUCCUGCUAAAACGGAUCCGACGGUGAGGGACGAAGCCCUGGGUCGCAAACGGGAUUAGAUACCCCGGUAGUCCAGGGUGUAAACGCUGCAAACUUGGUGU
rnacentral:rRNA from 1 species